AGGCCUGAGGUCCUUUCGAGAAACGCGAGGAACACGGAACGGCCAAGGCUUCCGGGGAGGAGAGGACGGCGGCCCCGCACCUUUGUUUCCAGAGGUUUCCAGGCGUUUUCUGGCCGGAUCCCAGGGCCUCGUGCGAUGGGCCGGGCUGGACACCGCACGCUUCAAAGUCACGUUUGGGAUGCUUCUUGCUGACUGUACCUUCAAGAGGAACUGGUUCUUGGAACGAUGCCUCCGUCUUCCAAUCUGACCAGUUGCAGCUUACCGUGUUAGCUAUCAAGUGGGAAGACCGGUGAACUCAAGGUUGCUUGUCGGACCUGAGCCACACCAGGGAAUGCAAUCACCAGAGCAUCUCAGGAUGUAGAAGGUGCGUAGAAGAGAGAGAGUGAACGGAGGAGGGACAGACACACAGAAUCGGAAGCAGACUCCAGUCUCUGAGCUGUCAGCACAGACCCCGAUGUGGGGCUCGAACCCACGAGCCGCAAGAUCACGACCCGAGCCGAAGCCGGAUGGAUGCUCAGCCGACUGAGCCACCCAGGCACCACCCCACCGCUCACUCCUUCUUCAGCUACGGCGAUCCCCUAAAAAUGAUGCCCGGCUCAGACUUCUAGAAAGAUAUUCAAGCAUUUUUAGCAGCGUUUCUCAUGCUUCAAGUGCGUAUGAGCCACCUGGGGAAUUAUGCAGAUUUUUAUAAAUUUAUUAUGCAGGAUUAUGAGGUCUGAGUUUCUGCAUUUCUGACACACGUGUAGGUGACGCCAGGGCGCCUGCUUCAGGGACCGCACUUUGAGUAGCAGGGUUUUAUAUGGCUGCGAGAUGGAAGGUGUUACUCUGCUGGGAACUUCAGCCCCCGGCAACUCCCAUUCUCCUUUCUGUCUCAAUAACUUUGAUGACCCUAAGCAUGUCAUGUGUAGUAACCCAGAAACCCAGAGAUAAAGGUCCAGAGGGAAGGAAGCACGAAACUCUCGACGUUUUCAGUACGCCCGAGGGAAGCCGUGUGAAAGGCUCCCAACCGGAGAAUGAAGAUCACUGAGUUCCAGAAACAUUUAAGAAAGUUUGGGAUUAUUGGACUCAGAAGCUGCCGUAGUCACACUGCGUGCUCACCUUGGAAUGAUGUCCAGGAAGCUCACUAUGUUUCCAGGAUUCACUUUCACGUCUUUAAAGCUGAUCUCUUCCCCUUCGAAGUGUGACAGGCCCGGUCUGGAUGAACGGGGCCCGCCUCCUGGACCGCAAGUGCCUGCCCAUGGAGCUUCUAAGGAGGAUCCUGUCACCCUAGUGGACCACACCUCUGACCUCCAGAGACACAGCAACACCUACCAAAUAGAGGUGACGUUUCAAACAGAGCCAUGGAACGGCCAUGGAGAACAGGAGCGUCUUUCUGGAUCAGGUAGACCUACCUGGAUCAGUGAACGUCAGGUGAACGGGAGAAACCAAGGUGGGCAGAUGCCUGCCUGAAAGCCAACUUAAUCGUUCAUAACGCUAAGCAGGAUUGCCGUGUAGACCAGAUGUACAAACGUCACGGCAGCCAUUCUCUUUCCGAAGUCAAGAUGCGAGAGUAUCCGGGAAGCAUCUGGAGCCAUCCGUUUGCAAGGAGAGAGCACCAGGAAUAUAAGCGCCACCAGGGCAAGAAUGUCUGUUUAUUUACGCUAUAUGAGUAAAUUACAGCGCUGGGAUUGAGAACGAUGUCGCCGCAGUCCAACUACCUCGGCCUGAAUCUCAGUUGAAUCAGCUGGUGGACUUUGGUAAGUUAAUAUUUAGCUGUUUUUGUGCCUCCGUAGCCCCAUCUGUAAAAUGGGGGGGGGGGGCAAAUCAACGAUUACGCCUGCAUCAUGGGUUUGUUGUCGUAAAAGAGGCGACACGGGAGAAGUUUUGAGAGCAGCGACGAGUGGAGAGCAAAUGUUCAAUAAACGAAGCUUAGCGCUAGCCAUUGUGGAUGAUAAUGUACACAGUUGCGUAUCAAUCACCUUGUGAAGCAGAAGUAGGACUGGAGAGGCACGUACAUUAAGUAGUUUUUAAGAAGUUGAACAAGUGGAGGCACCUGGGUUAGGCAUCCCACUUGGGCUCAAGUCAUGCUCUCACGGUUUGUGGGUUCGAGCCCCGUGUCGGGCUCUGUGCUGACAGCUCGGAGCCUGGAGCCUGCUUGCGAUUCUGCAUCUCUGUCCCUCUCUGCCCCUCCCCUGCUUGUACUCUGUCUCUCUCUGUCUCUUAAAAACAAACAUUAAAGAGUUGAACAAGUGAAUAGCAGUAAAGGAAAAGGGAGAAGGUUGGAUUCAAAACCAGCCCCCGGGACUCCACUGCACCAUUAAGGGGGGGCUGUAUCUGUGGCUUUCAAAGAUGUCAUUAUUGCCAACAAGUCAAGGUUAACAUGGGGCUGGAACCUGAAGAAUGUGAUUUACCAUUUCCCAAACUCUGUUCCAUGGAACACCAGCCUAAGAACAGGCUCCCAGGAAAACAUGUUCAAAUAAGGUUUGAGAACACUAAACACUAUAUCCCUCCUUAGAUAUUAUCAGCAAAGGUCAUCAUAUUAGAGGCUCUGUGAAGUCCUCCUGUAAAGGGUCCCGUUUAACUGUCUCACGUGUUCUCUUUAAGAAUAUAUUUAACUAUAGGGGCGCCUGAGUGGCCCAGUCGGUUGGGCAUCUGACUUCGGCUCAGGUCAUGAUCUCACAAUCUGUGAGUUCGAGCCCCACGUUGGGCUCUGUGCUGACAGCUCAGAGCCUGGAGCCUGCUUCGGAUUCUGUGUCUCCCUCUCUCUGCCCCUCCCCUGCUCAUGCUCUGUCUGUCUCAAAUAAAAACGUUAAAAAAAAUUUUUUUAAAGAAUGUAUUUAACUAUAGAAUUCUUUGUGUAUGUUAUGUCUACCAACAAUCUGCAGAGAUUAUUUGGAAAAACACCAAUGUAACAAAAUUGACCCAAACCAGGUGUUGGCUGCUGGUGGGAGGUGAGUCAGACCAGUGGGGGCUGAUAUCUUGAGGACGGAAAGAUCUGCCCAAUUGGGGCAGCCAAUUGGAAACCAACCCAACAGCAGGAGGCCAUGGGAACGUGCAUUCAUGAAAGAGUCUAGAAUAUCAUGGCGGUAGGAAAAUGGAGGCCCAGACAAGCAGCAGCAACAUGACAGACAGCACUGGGGAGUGACCAGAGGUAGUGCCUGGGUUUUCUGACACCCCGUAGAGCUCAGCAACUGCGAAAUCUGGCAGAGGGCCAUAUGCUAAUGUUCAAGGAGGGAAUGAGAAUGCCAGGGGCUAGUUGGUAAAGGAAUCUCAAAUUUAAGUGUGAGGUUCAGGGAUGGAACCAUGAAAACAAGCAGUGAAUUCAUCUCUAGGGACCAGAAAUGCUCCUGCAGAAUUUGGCAAAGAGGCAAAAUUGAUCCAGACAAGGUUAAAAAGUGGGCUUGGAAUUUCCAGAAGCUUCGCGUCAAGGAGCAAAGUGAUAGUCUAGCGAUGCCAUGUAGAGAAGAAGACUAAAUGUGACCCCUUAAAUCCUGCAUGAUUUAGAAUUCAUGGUCACAGACCUGAGCUGAGCCCACAGGUGAGAGCCAAGAGGCUGUGACUGUGGGAAAAAGACGUACAAGGAUCGAGGCGCCAAGGUGGUCAUUACAGAGUGGAAAGUCAACACAUCCGUGAGGCAUAUUCAUAUAGCAGGUGGCUAAGGGUCCACGGGUAUGCCUCCUUUUUGCAUCCUACGCCUCGGAUCCCCAGCUGAGUGCUGUCUGCACUACAGCAGAUUGCAUCUCUGAGCUAGCUGGCAUCCCACGAUGCACUUUGCAGCCCCAAGGUUGGAUUUAUAGCCUGUGGCACCCAGCAGGGUAAUCACCCUCCUGUUUGGGCUGUUCUGCACCAUUUCCUAGGGACAGACUCCCCUCCCAGAGCGGUUGAGGUACUUUGGCACUCUAAGAAUGCAACUCUAUAGACUUGGUUGAUGUCCAAGUUAAGUUUUUAAGCAAGAGAACUUGGCAUUAAAUUACCCCGAGUGACUGUCAUCACUCUGAAGCCAGCAAAAGUGACUCUGCUCAAUAAAGUUUUGAGAAAUAUGUUGAACCUUGGGCAAAUUUAUGAUUCUCUUUUCUCAACUCAUGGUUAAGACUAUUAAGCCAAAGAAUUUUUCCCUCUGUCUCUGCUGGAACUAGAUAAAGCUGUUGCCAUACCAUUAUACUCCAAAAUAUCCAGUUAGGAAAUGUGGCCGGCAUUUCUUUAAAAAUUUGUAUUAGAUAAAGCAGAAUGCAAUUAACACGGAAUAAGGCAGACAUUUAGCAAAUUGCUGUGAGAACAGGGAGAGGAAAGAAUGAUUCUGUUUAGAAUGAUAAUCAAGGAAGCAUUCAUGGAAGAGACACCUUUGAGUUAGGCUUUGAAAGGUAAAGAAAAGAAUAAUGCAUUGCUGAUUUACUUGCUGGCCUCCAGAGGGUUUCAAUCUGGGGAACCUAUCUCAGGGGGAUCUCAGAGAGAGUUAAAAAAGAGUCGCUUUGCUUUUAGCUCUAAUAUUCUGGCCCCAAGUUAAUGACCACUUAGGUAAGAAUGAGAGCCAUUACCGGGUUCUACUCCUGAAACCAAUACUACAUUGUAUGUUAACUAACUUGAAUUUAAAUAAAUAAGUUAAAAAAAAAAAAAGAAAGAAAGCAGUUCUUUCAUUUCUCUUAGCUUUGAGCUUCCUUGGGAGAGGGCCAUAACAAGCAUUUUGUUUUGUUUUCCUUUGUAAUGUGGAGGAAGACUGAAAAGCCAGAGGGUCAACUCUAAAGACUCUGUGUGCAAAUGUUGAUGGGGAUUGACAUCAUUAAGCCCGUGGAAGGGAGAGGUUGCAGAUUAGUGCAGUUGCAGAGGAGGAAUCAAUUGACCUGGAGAAGAAUGUGGCAAAAGAGCCUUGCGUGCCUCGGGAAUGGGGGUCCUCUUGGAUGCAACAAGCCAGGGGUAGCAAGACCUCGCAUGAAUGUGGUUUGGUGGCACCUUGAAACCCCGGAUGGAGAAGAUAAAGGCCGGCGAAACUGACUAGGAAACACAAAGACCAUAGACAGCGAAAGCACAUUAACUCUCAGGGGCAUCAGAUACCAGAAUACUCUAAAGACCAGACUCCUCCCCCAUUUUUUUAGAGCCAACAGAAUAGGGAAGAAAUCUUCCAUUGUUACUUGACGUUGAAUUCCAUGUGGAGUCUGGCGUGUGAGGGCUGUAAACCAGAUUCUAAUCCGAUUUAUAAAAAUGAAGAAAUAUUACAGUUUUCCACAUUGAGUAUCAUGGGAAAAUUCAUGACUGUCAUAUUUCAAAAUCUGCAAUGGUACAUUAGAAUUCCGUAUCUAAUUUCCAAGCUAUUCUGCUGAAAGCAUCUUCAAUUUUUAUAUGCAUCUUGGAGUCAUUAACAGCUAUGUCUUUGGAAUCAGAAAGAAGUAGUUUGAAUAAUAACUGUGCUUCUAACAUGAUUUAUAAACAAAAGUCACUUAAUAUUUUUGAGCUUCAGGUGCCUCCUGUGGAAAUGGGGAUACCUACCCAACAGGGUUAUCGUGAUGUUAAUUGGAUAAUCCAUUUCUGAAAAAAGAGCUUAAUUUCUUAGCCGGCACUUAGAAUGCCUUCAACAAGCGGUAGCUUCUGUGAUUAUUUUUGUGCUGCUGGGGUUGGGGCCAGGAGUCUGGUCACCUAGGCUCUAUCAACACUGGGCCAGGAGCUUGGGAAAAUCACCUGCAUGUCAGUGUCCCCCAUCUUUCCACCUGAGACGCUUGGGAAUGACAAAUGACCUCACGCCAUGCUCAGGAGGGAAAGGGUAAUCUUCCUUCCCUGGUGGGAUUUAUUCCUAUUUCUGGAGGGAAUGUGAAUUCAGGAUAAGCUGUGGUCUAGGUAGCUCUUUUGCAAGAGGUAGGAGAGAAUUUCUACUUCUCAAAUGUCUUUUUUUUUUAAUGUUUAUUUUUGAGAGAGAGAGAGAGUUUCACAAGUAGGGGAGGGAAAAAGAGAAGGGACAGAGGAUCUGAAGCAGGCUCCGUGCUGACAGCAGAGACCCCGGUGAGGGGCUUGAAUUCACAAACCAUGAGAUCAUGAUCUGAGCUGAAGUCGGAUGCUUAAUUGACUGCCUGCCACCCACGCGCCCCUAAUUCUCAUUUGCUAACGUGCAUACAAAUCUCCCGGUGUUUUAGAGAUUUUAUCUUUUUAAGUACUCUCUCCACCCACUGUGGGACUUAAACCCACGACCCCAAGAUCGAGAGUCACAUGCUCUACCAACUGAACCAGGCAGGCACCCCUAAAUCUUCUGGUGUUUUAAAAUACAGUUUGUUAAUAGAAAGUUUGAAGUAUUGUAAGGCCAACGAAUCAGGAGGUGACUGCCAUCAAAAGAAUGGUUUAUUACUCACAGUUCCCCGAGAAGGAGGUAGUACACCAUGCUGUGGGGGACAUACCCAAGGUCAGUCACUGGUCAGAGAGAGAAGGGAGAGCUGUGGCUAGUUUUAGGUGUUUCCUCAGAAAGGAAGGGGUGAACCAGUGUAAAAAGGCUUACACUUAGUUAGGUAAUUUCAGUGGUCUCUGGGGCAAAGGGGCCAUCCCUAGUUGUCUGGUACCUUCUCCCCUAGUGCAGUGAUUAGAAUAGUGGCCUGGAGAAUGAGAGCCCCAUAAAGAAGGUGGUUGGGGUGCGGGCUCUGGACUGGUUGCUUUGUAACUGAAAAGCAAGCUUGGGGGCGAGUGCCCAUUCACUUUGGGAAUUGGCUAGCCCUGGGAGGGGCCCUCCAGGCUCUGCAAGCCCCCAGAUGUCAGCAUCAGAACUACAGAAAAUAAAAGACACCAUUAAUACACCAGGGAAUCUUAUUAAAACACAGAAUUCUGAGCCUCACGACUGAGAUUCUGACUUGCUUGGCCUGAAGAUGAAGCUUAUUUGUUUGCAUUUCUUUUUUUUUUUUAACGUUUAUUUAUUUUUGAGACAGAGAGAGACAGAGCGUGAGCGGGGGAGGGGCUGAGAGAGAGGGAGACACAGAGUCUGAAUCAGACUCCAGGCUCUGAGCUGUCAGCACAGAGCCUGAUACGGGGCUUGAACCCACCAACUGCGAGAUCAUGACCUGAGCUGAAGUGGGACACCCAACUGACUGAGCCACCCAGGCGCCCCUCAUUUGUUUGCAUUUCUGAUCAGCCCCCAAGUGACCCUACAUGCGGCUGGUUUGUGGAUUAUACUCUGAAGGAAGAUGAGCGAACGGCAUUGUUAGCACCCCAGAAAACAUACUCCAAGUAGAGGCAAUCUGUUCUCCAACAGCUCCCAUCCCGGAUGAGGAUAGCAGAGGGAAAUAGAUCCUCACGCUGCCCCCGCUGUGCACAGAACCGGGUGAAAGGGUCUGGUUACUAGAGGUCUUCGUUUCAGCUCUUCAAAUGUAGAGACGUUAAGGUCAAAUUAAACAUGUUGGUGGUCUCAGUAUAAUUCAAAACGAUUGAGCCUACCCCCCAAAGGCACUUGGGCACUUAGCGGGAAGGAGAAUUCCAUUAGUUAAUUGACCACCAACCAUUCGGAGAACUUCCCCUAUGCGAAGGAGUGGACCAGGUGCUGGGGAGAUUUUAUUUUCAGUUUUACUCAAACAUAACACAAAACCUAAGUGCACAGUUUAAUGAGUCUUGAAAAGGCAAGGCAUGUAACCACAACCCAGAUCAAGGAAUAGAACAUUCACCAGGGCCACAGAAGGCUCCCUGAUCCCCAACCCUGCCAGUUACUGGGCCCCCAACAAUCCUGACUUCUAUCACCAGAAAUUGGUUUUGCCUGGUUUUGAACUUUAUGUGAAUUAAGUCAUAGAGUGUAAAUGCUUAUGUCUUUUGUGUCUGGCAUCUUCCACUCCACACUGUGAGGUCUGUGUGGUGCUUUGCACAGUCAUGGUUCAUUCUCAUUGCUGUGUAGUUUUCCAUUGUGUGAAUAAACCACACUUCUUCCAACCUACUGGUGGUGGACAUUUGGGGGCGGUUCUAUUUUGAGGCACUGUUAUGAGUAUUCUUUUUUUUAAUUUAUUUUAACCUUUAAUAAAUUAACUUAUUUUUUAAGUUUAUUUACUUAUUUUGAGAGAGAGAGAGAGAGUGAGACUGGGGGAGAGGCAGAGAGAGAGAAACCCCUACAGGCUCUGCACUGUCAUGAACCCUGAGAUCAUGGCCUGAGCUGAAACCAAGAGUCAGAUGCUCAACUGACUGAGCCACCCAAGUGUCCCAAAUUAAUUUAUUAUUUUAAUUUUUAGAGAGUGGGGGAAGGAGCAGAGUAAGAGAGAGAGAAUCUUUAAGCAGUUUCCAUGCUCAGCACAGAGCCCGAGGUAGGACACAAUUCCCAGAUGCUGGGAUUAUGACCUGAGCCGAAAUCAAGUCAGACCCUCAACCGACUGAGCCACCCAGGGUCCCCAAUGUUACAAGCAUUAAAAAAAAUUUUUUAACACUUAUUUAUUUUUGAGAGACAGAGUGAGACAGAGCAUGAGCGGGGGAGGCGCAGAGAGAGAGGGAGAACAUAGAAUCUGAAGCAGGCUCCAGGCUCCAAGCUGUCAGCACAGAGCCCAAUGGGGGGCUCGAACCCACGGACCAUGAGAUCAUGACCUGAAGCAAAGUCGGACGCCUAACCGACUGAGCCACCCAGGCACCCCUGUUAUGAGCAUUCUUAUUCAUGUCCCAUAGGGACUGUUGGGUAUAUACCUAGGAGCAGAUUCUGUGCAUCACGAGAAUUUGUAUUUAGCCCAAACGACUUCCAAAGCGAUCAUGCCAGCUUGCACGUGCAUCAGCAAUGAAUGAAAGUUCCGGUCGCUCCACACGCUUGUCAACAUGUACUCUCAACAGCCCUUGUCAUUUUAACGAUUCUGGUGGCUGUGUUGUGGUAUCAUGUCUUGAGUUUUUAAUGGGUACAGGUGGAGAAUGUCGGCAAGGAGAAUAGAGUGAACGGGAGUGUGGAGGUGAGGAACCUCUAGUCAUACUAGGGCAGCUAACCUGGGGGAAACGUUUCCGUGGAUGAGAAAUGUCUUUCAGCAGGAGCUGCAGUGGGACAGGCCAUCAGUGCUCUCCUCCGGGUAUGUUUGAAGCAAUGCUUGAAGCAAGAGGCUAAAAAUCGGAGAAUUAAGUACAACGUGAGUGUUGAAUUAGGCGUCCGGAAACUGCAAACAGAGAAUCCACAUAUUCAUAAGAAAGAAAAUUACCAAGCUUUCGCUAUGUGUUAGAAGCUGUGUUACCUGGACACUGUGGAUAUAAAAGUAAAUAAUGUUCAGAAGAGAUGAGUAAGGUUGGGGCA